CAUAUUUCUAAUGAAGAGGUUAAGCAUGGAUGAAGUGUAAAAUUGCACCAGAAAUUGAUAGCUAGAGGUACAAGCUUUCAGGUAUUGCCGAAAACUCAAGGAUAGCUAGAGUUGAAGCAAUGUAGUUUAAGUAAUGAUUGGAAAAUACAUUUGGAAGCUUGUCGAACCAGUCUCGUGAUAUGUUGCUGCCAAUUUAAGUAGUGAUUGGAAAAA